AACGCUAGCUACAGGCUUAACACAUGCAAGUCGCGGGGCAGCAUGAAUUUAGCUUGCUAAAUUUGAUGGCGACCGGCGCACGGGUGAGUAACGCGUAUCCAACCUUCCCCUGUCCACGGGAUAGCCCGUCGAAAGGCGGAUUAAUACCGUAUGAGGUCACACGACGGCAUCAGAGUGUGACGAAAGGUUUGGCGGACAGGGAUGGGGAUGCGUCCGAUUAGCUUGUUGGCGGGGUAACGGCCCACCAAGGCUACGAUCGGUAGGGGUUCUGAGAGGAAGGUCCCCCACAUUGGAACUGAGACACGGUCCAAACUCCUACGGGAGGCAGCAGUGAGGAAUAUUGGUCAAUGGGCGAGAGCCUGAACCAGCCAAGUAGCGUGCAGGAUGACGGCCCUAUGGGUUGUAAACUGCUUUUAUGCGGGGAUAACGUGCACCACGUGUGGUGUAUUGCAGGUACCGCAUGAAUAAGGACCGGCUAAUUCCGUGCCAGCAGCCGCGGUAAUACGGAAGGUCCGGGCGUUAUCCGGAUUUAUUGGGUUUAAAGGGAGCGUAGGCCGCUGUUUAAGCGUGUUGUGAAAAACCGGGGCUCAACUCCGGUCGUGCAGCGCGAACUGGACGGCUUGAGUGCGCGGUAAGUGGGCGGAAUUUGUGGUGUAGCGGUGAAAUGCUUAGAUAUCACGAAGAACUCCGAUUG
rnacentral:rRNA from 1 species